rnacentral:rRNA from 1 species
AGUGAACGCUGGCGGUAGGCCUAACACAUGCAAGUCGAACGGCAGCACAGUAAGAGUUUGCUUUUACGGGUGGCGAGUGGCGGACGGGUGAGGAAUACAUCGGAAUCUACUUUUUCGUGGGGGAGAACGUAGGGAAACUUACGCUAAUACCGCAUACGACCUACGGUUGAAAGCAGGGGAUCUUCGGACCUUGCGCGAUUGAAUGAGCCGAUGUCGGAUUAGCUAGUUGGCGGGGUAAAGGCCCACCAAGGCGACGAUCCGUAGCUGGUCUGAGAGGAUGAUCAGCCACACUGGAACUGAGACACGGUCCAGACUCCUACGGGAGGCAGCAGUGGGGAAUAUUGGACAAUGGGCGCAAGCCUGAUCCAGCCAUACCGCGUGGGUGAAGAAGGCCUUCGGGUUGUAAAGCCCUUUUGUUGGGAAAGAAAAGCAGCAGGUUAAUACCCCGCUGUUCUGACGGUACCCAAAGAAUAAGCACCGGCUAACUUCGU